ACUUUCUACUGUGAGCUUUUUAAUGAUAGACAAAGAAUUUGGCUUCAUUAUAUUAUUAAUCAUCUUACACAUUUCUAUAUGUAAAGAUUGUCCUACCUUUAUGUAACUUCUGGGGAAGGUGGUGUCAUCACUUCUGACAUGAUUGAAAUGAUAUUUUCCAAAAGCCCAGAGCAACAGCUUUCAGCAACACAGAAAUUCAGGAAACUGCUUUCAAAAGAACCUAACCCUCCUAUUGAUGAAGUUAUCAGCACACCAGGAGUAGUGGCCAGGUUUGUGGAGUUCCUCAAACGAAAAGAGAAUUGUACACUGCAGUUUGAAUCAGCUUGGGUACUGACAAAUAUUGCUUCAGGAAAUUCUCUUCAGACCCGGAUUGUGAUUCAGGCAGGAGCUGUGCCCAUCUUCAUAGAGUUGCUCAGCUCAGAGUUUGAAGAUGUCCAGGAACAGGCAGUCUGGGCUCUUGGCAACAUUGCUGGAGAUAGUACCAUGUGCAGGGACUAUGUCUUAGACUGCAAUAUCCUUCCCCCUCUUUUGCAGUUAUUUUCAAAGCAAAACCGCCUGACCAUGACCCGGAAUGCAGUAUGG
rnacentral:sRNA from 1 species